CACCUGCUUAAUAAGACACUUGCCCUUGGUAGCUGUGGAUGGAGAAUCUUCAAUUAAGCUUCGCUUCACCUCAGGGUGAGUUAUCAAGACACGUAAACAAUAAUCGCCUUGCACUGGAUUAUUGUCAGUAAAAGGCAAUUAACCGGGGUAUUGAGAGCCAGUGGAUUACAUUGUGGGCAAUGUGCUGACUGAGAGGAUGCUGCUGGCUUUGUAGUCGGGGGACUGGAAGGUCGAGCGAUACCGGGGUGGAUGCAUGAAACGGUGCCUCGCAAGCUGGUCAUCAACAGGCCGCUAAAUGUGUAAUCUGUGCAUUUUGGCAGUCGGGCAAAAUAAUCAGCAGGUUUUCUUCCUGACCAUCGGCGGAUUGGAAGAAAAGUUCCCCGCCUGAGGGUUCUGCUCUCGCCCCGGGUCACUGCGCAGGAAAGACGAAAGGGUUUGUUUCUCUGCACAACCAAACAUCUCAACUGAAAGCACAACGCAGCAAGUGUCUGUCUGUGUGUGUGUGUGUGUGUGUGUCCCUUCCUAUCUCUUUCUCCAGCCCGAGUGUCCGGACAAUCCUCGCACUGUGCUCCAUCUGCACAGCUACACGUCUGUGGUCGGGGCCUCUGCGCUGCAGACGAGUGGCCAGACGCGCUCUGUCUGGGCCGUCACACAACGGAGACAUUCAGUGCACGGCGGACACGCAAACACACAUUUCCUGCAAUACGUGGAUAAAAAUCUGUGUUAACAAAGCCGGGAGACCAUUAAACCCAUAGCUUCUCCAUGGAAGGGCCGCGUACAACAAUGGACGGAUACAAAGGCAGUGUGUACGUCAACUCACGAGGACCGAGGAAGAGCUUAAAGUGGCCACACAGCAACCUCCUGAAGUCACGCUGUCAAACCUGUCGGAGCAGGCAGGACAAGCCCGUGAAUGUGGGAAACCUUUUGUCUUUUCUGUGGGAAAAAAAUGAAGCGCUUUUACACUUUUUUUGAUGGUGGAUUUUUCACUAAAUGUAAGCAAGACAGGAGAAAGUUCCUGGAAAAUGUUCACUCAGAGAGAGACGUCCUUAGAGCCUGAUAGGAAAUAUAAGAUGUAAAGGUUACAUAGAUGUUGUCCAGAUGUUAUGUACUUAGUCUGCAGCAUAAUUUGCCCAGUGGCAUUAAUGCACCUUUUCCACAUGCAGGAAACAUAACUUCACCAUAGCUUUUUUUUGAAGGUGACCAUCAAUGAGCAAACAGGUCGCCCAAGUGAGGGCUGUUCUGCUGCCCCCCUGCUGGGUUUCCCUGUAGCGGGGAGCCACCUGCCGGGAUGAAGGGAGAGCUCCGAGCUGUGACGCGUUAGCGAGGUACGACUGCUUUUAUUGAGGUGUGUGUUUCCUCCAACACGCAGGAGGAGAGCGUCUGUUUUCCUCUUCUGCAGGUGGCGCUUUUUUUUAAUUUAACAAUAAAAAGAAAUACUCGGUUUCUGUUCUCUUUUUUUUUUUACCAGACCUGCAAUGUUUCCGAUAUUUUUUAAAUGAUUAAAUUCGCUCUCAUUUGACCGUUUAAUUGAACGCUUGGUCACGAGAAAAAAUGGUUUGGAGAAGAAAAAGUGCGCAAAUGGUCCGUGUGUCAGAACACGCACAUUCGCUCCAAGACAUAAAAACCAUUAAAGUUUCACCACAGUUAACGGAAAAAAGAUCAUCGGUUGAGAUGAUCGCUUCUUGUUGAGGUAGUUUAGAAAUACACCUAAUUGUUUCCAAUAAUAAUCUUACUUUUUUU